rnacentral:rRNA from 1 species
UACGGAGGGGGCUAGCGUUGUUCGGAAUUACUGGGCGUAAAGCGUGCGCAGGCGGCUGCUCAAGUCAGGGGUGAAAGCCCAGAGCUCAACUCUGGAAUUGCCUUUGAGACUGAGUGGCUUGAGUACGGGAGAGGAGCGACCGGAAUUCCGGUGUAGCGGUGAAAUGCGUGAGAGAGUCGGGAGGAAGGCCGGUGGCGAAGGCGGCGCUCUGGAACGUUUCUGACACUGAGGCUCGGAAAGCGUGGGGAGCAAACAGG